UGGGGAAUUUUGGACAAUGGGCGCAAGCCUGAUCCAGCCAUGCCGCGUGUCUGAAGAAGGCCUUCGGGUUGUAAAGGACUUUUGUCAGGGAAGAAAAGGCUGUUGCUAAUACCGACAGCUGAUGACGGUACCUGAAGAAUAAGCACCGGCUAACUACGUGCCAGCAGCCGCGGUAAUACGUAGGGUGCGAGCGUUAAUCGGAAUUACUGGGCGUAAAGCGAGCGCAGACGGUUACUUAAGCAGGAUGUGAAAUCCCCGGGCUCAACCUGGGAACUGCGUUCUGAACUGGGUGACUAGAGUGUGUCAGAGGGAGGUAGAAUUCCACGUGUAGCAGUGAAAUGCGUAGAGAUGUGGAGGGAUACCGAUGGCGAAGGCAGCCUCCUGGGAUAACACUGACGUUCAUGCUCGAAAGCGUGGGUAGCAAACAGGAUUAGAUACCCUGGUAGUCCACGCCCUAAACGAUGUCAAUUAGCUGUUGGGCAACUUGAUUGCUUAGUAGCGUAGCUAACGCGUGAAAUUGACCGCCUGGGGAGUACGGUCGCAAGAUUA
rnacentral:rRNA from 1 species